rnacentral:rRNA from 1 species
CCCUUAGAUGUUCUGGGCCGCACGCGCGCUACACUGAUGAACGCAACGAGACCACCUGUACCGAAAGGCAUGGGUAAACUUGUGAAAGUUCAUCGUGAUGGGGAUAGAUUAUUGCAAUUAUUAAUCUUCAACGAGGAAUUCCUAGUAAGCGCGAGUCAUCAGCUCGCGUUGAUUACGUCCCUGCCCUUUGUACACACCGCCCGUCGCUCCUACCGAUUGAAUGGUCCGGUGAAAUCUUCGGAUUGCUGGAUGGGACUUCAUUGACCUAUCUGCGAGAAGUUGCUUGAACCUUAUCAUUUAGAGGAAGGAGAAGUCGUAACA